rnacentral:rRNA from 1 species
GAUGAACGCUGGCGGCGUGCCUAAUACAUGCAAGUCGAGCGAACAGACGAGGAGCUUGCUCCUCUGACGUUAGCGGCGGACGGGUGAGUAACACGUGGAUAACCUACCUAUAAGACUGGGAUAACUUCGGGAAACCGGAGCUAAUACCGGAUAAUAUAUUGAACCGCAUGGUUCAAUAGUGAAAGACGGUUUUGCUGUCACUUAUAGAUGGAUCCGCGCCGCAUUAGCUAGUUGGUAAGGUAACGGCUUACCAAGGCAACGAUGCGUAGCCGACCUGAGAGGGGGAUCCGCCACACUGGAGCUGAGACACGGUCCAGACUCCGACGGGAGGCAGCAGUAGGGAAUCUUCCGCAAUGGGCGAAAGCCUGACGGAGCAACGCCGCGUGAGUGAUGAAGGUCUUCGGAUCGUAAAACUCUGUUAUUAGGGAAGAACAAAUGUGUAAGUAACUAUGCACGUCUUGACGGUACCUAAUCAGAAAGCCACGGCUACCUACGU